ensembl:lncRNA
AUGAAUAUAAGCGGUAGGAGAAGAGACUGGAGAUGUGAACUGUCCCUCUGGAACGGGCUGCCAUUAAGUUUACUAAAAAUGUCUGAUGGUUUCACCCAGACAGUUAGGAGAGCUGUGUCUAAACGGGAUCCAGAUCUCUGCUUACUAAUUCCUGUGAUCCACCUGCUCUGAAGGCCAGUCGUUGUGGCCGAGUGUUCUGCACUACAGAUGGCGCUGGAUGAGGGAAGCUGGGUCAUGCUGAAGGACUGACCACAGUGCUUCAUCAUACCGAGAGAAAGUGACCCCAAAGGUCACAGCACACACACAGGCUUAAUUUUAGAGCAAUUAAUCUCCUCUCAAGAGAGUUUUAUGUGUGAGCAUGUGUGUGGGUGUGUCGCUGUGCUGUAGUUAGAGCCGGCCGUCAGCUGUCCGGCCAAGGUGGAGGCCCAACCAUCUUAUCGUCCAGGAGAAGCUUAAUAUGAGGAGAUUAGAUGGCACGGAGGAGAUUACUGCUUGGCCUUUAAUGCAUCGUUCUCUUACCUAACAGGAACCUGAUCUAAAUCCACCACAGGGUAACAAGGCCAUCACUCUGUCCAACAUACACAAGAGGACAUGUAACGUACACACACAUAGAUACACAACAGAUGAUGAGUGGGUGGCAAAAAAACAAACAAAAAAAAGCUCAGAUGAAACAGCAAUGGAAAUGAAAGAGGUGGAGCUUUCAGUGAGAGAGAGUGAAAGAGUGAGGUGGGAUGGAAGAGGUGUUCCCCAUAUAAAAGCCUCUUCACUGGUUUGGAAAAUUAGCUGGGCCCUGUGGUCUACUGGAGCCUUUUAUUUAUUGAUGUAAAGAAAGAUAACCACGCCACCUUCCGUAUUCGCUCCAUUUGCAUGAGUGAGGGAAGAUUAGGAGUGAAAAUCAAACCAAAUAAAUAAAUCCCUCUUUUUCCCUCUCUUCA